GAUGAACGCUGGCGGCGUGCCCAAUACAUGCAAGUCGAGCGAACGGACGAGAAGCUUGCUUCUCUGAUGUUAGCGGCGGACGGGUGAGUAACACGUGGAUAACCUACCUAUAAGACUGGGAUAACUUCGGGAAACCGGAGCUAAUACCGGAUAAUAUUUUGAACCGCAUGGUUCAAAAGUGAAAGACGGUCUUGCUGUCACUUAUAGAUGGAUCCGCGCUGCAUUAGCUAGUUGGUAAGGUAACGGCUUACCAAGGCAACGAUGCAUAGCCGACCUGAGAGGGUGAUCGGCCACACUGGAACUGAGACACGGUCCAGACUCCUACGGGAGGCAGCAGUAGGGAAUCUUCCGCAAUGGGCGAAAGCCUGACGGAGCAACGCCGCGUGAGUGAUGAAGGUCUUCGGAUCGUAAAACUCUGUUAUUAGAGAAGAACAUAUGUGUAAGUAACUGUGCACAUCUUGACGGUACCUAAUCAGAAAGCCACGGCUAACUACGUGCCAGCAGCCGCGGUAAUACGUAGGUGGCAAGCGUUAUCCGGAAUUAUUGGGCGUAAAGCGCGCGUAGGCGGUUUUUUAGUCUGAUGUGAAAGCCCACGGCUCAACCGUGGAGGGUCAUUGGAAACUGGAAAACUUGAGUGCAGAAGAGGAAAGUGGAAUUCCAUGUGUAGCGGUGAAAUGCGCAGAGAUAUGGAGGAACACCAGUGGCGAAGGCGACUUUCUGGUCUGUAACUGACGCUGAUGUGCGAAAGCGUGGGGAUCAAACAGGAUUAGAUACCCUGGUAGUCCACGCCGUAAACGAUGAGUGCUAAGUGUUAGGGGGUUUCCGCCCCUUAGUGCUGCAGCUAACGCAUUAAGCACUCCGCCUGGGGAGUACGACCGCAAGGUUGAAACUCAAAGGAAUUGACGGGGACCCGCACAAGCGGUGGAGCAUGUGGUUUAAUUCGAAGCAACGCGAAGAACCUUACCAAAUCUUGACAUCCUUUGACAACUCUAGAGAUAGAGCUUUCCCCUUCGGGGGACAAAGUGACAGGUGGUGCAUGGUUGUCGUCAGCCCGUGUCGUGAGAUGUUGGGUUAAGUCCCGCAACGAGCGCAACCCUUAAGCUUAGUUGCCAUCAUUAAGUUGGGCACUCUAAGUUGACUGCCGGUGACAAACCGGAGGAAGGUGGGGAUGACGUCAAAUCAUCAUGCCCCUUAUGAUUUGGGCUACACACGUGCUACAAUGGACAAUACAAAGGGCAGCGAAACCGUGAGGUCAAGCAAAUCCCAUAAAGUUGUUCUCAGUUCGGAUUGUAGUCUGCAACUCGACUACAUGAAGCUGGAAUCGCUAGUAAUCGUAGAUCAGCAUGCUACGGUGAAUACGUUCCCGGGUCU
rnacentral:rRNA from 1 species